GCAUAUCCAAUAAGCGGAAGGAAAAGAAACCAACAGGGAUUGCCCUAGUAACGGCGAGUGAAGCGGCAACAGCUCAAAUUUGAAAUCUGGCUUUCGGGCCCGAGUUGUAAUUUGUAGAGGAUGAUUUUGAUGCGGUGCCUUCCGAGUUCCCUGGAACGGGACGCCAUAGAGGGUGAGAGCCCCGUCUGGUUGGAUGCCAAAUCUCUGUAAAUCUCCUUCGACGAGUCGAGUAGUUUGGGAAUGCUGCUCUAAAUGGGAGGUAUAUGUCUUCUAAAGCUAAAUACCGGCCAGAGACCGAUAGCGCACAAGUAGAGUGAUCGAAAGAUGAAAAGCACUUUGAAAAGAGAGUUAAAAAGUACGUGAAAUUGUUGAAAGGGAAGCGUUUAUGACCAGACUUGGGCUUGGUUAAUCAUCUGGGGUUCUCUCCAGUGCACUUUUCCAGUCCAGGCCAGCAUCAGUUUUCGCCGGGGGAUAAAGGCUUCGGGAAUGUGGCUCCCCUCGGGGAGUGUUAUAGCCCGUUGUGUAAUACCCUGGUGGGGACUGAGGUUCGCGCUUCUGCAAGGAUGCUGGCGUAAUGGUCAUCAACGACCCGUCUUGAAACACGGACCAAGGAGUCGUCUUCGUAUGCGAGUGUUCGGGUGUCAAACCCCUACGCGUAAUGAAAGUGAACGCAGGUGAGAGCUUCGGCGCAUCAUCGACCGAUCCUGAUGUUCUCGGAUGGAUUUGAGUAAGAGCAUACGGGGCCGGACCCGAAAGAAGGUGAACUAUGCCUGUGUAGGGUGAAGCCAGAGGAAACUCUGGUGGAGGCUCGCAGCGGUUUCUGACGUGCAAAUCGAUCGUCAAACAUGGGCAUGGGGCGAAAGACUAAUCGAACCUUCUAGUAGCUGCUUUCCGCAGAG
rnacentral:rRNA from 1 species